rnacentral:rRNA from 3 species
GAUUCAUGACUGGGGUGAAGUCGUAACAAGGUAGCCGUAUCGGAAGGUGCGGCUGGAUCACCUCCUUUCC